AGAGUUUGAUCCUGGCUCAGAACGAACGCUGGCGGCAGGCUUAACACAUGCAAGUCGAGCGGGCUCCUUCGGGGGUCAGCGGCGGACGGGUUAGUAACGCGUGGGAACGUGCCUUUUGCUUCGGAAUAGCCCUGGGAAACUGGGGGUAAUACCGGAUGUGCCCUGAGGGGGAAAGAUUUAUCGGCAAGAGAUCGGCCCGCGUCUGAUUAGGUAGUUGGUGGGGUAACGGCCCACCAAGCCGACGAUCGGUAGCUGGUUUGAGAGGAUGAUCAGCAACACUGGGACUGAGACACGGCCCAGACUCCUACGGGAGGCAGCAGUGGGGAAUCUUAGACAAUGGGCGCAAGCCUGAUCCAGCCAUGCCGCGUGAGUGAUGAAGGCCCUAGGGUUGUAAAGCUCUUUCGGCGGGGACGAUAAUGACGGUACCCGCAGAAGAAGCCCCGGCUAACUUCGUGCCAGCAGCCGCGGUAAUACGAAGGGGGCUAGCGUUGCUCGGAAUCACUGGGCGUAAAGGGCGCGUAGGCGGAUCUUUAAGUCGGGGGUGAAAGCCCAGGGCUCAACCCUGGAAUUGCCUUCGAUACUGAGGAUCUCGAGACCGGAAGAGGUUAGUGGAACUGCGAGUGUAGAGGUGAAAUUCGUAGAUAUUCGCAAGAACACCAGUGGCGAAGGCGGCUAACUGGUCCGGUUCUGACGCUGAGGCGCGAAAGCGUGGGGAGCAAACAGGAUUAGAUACCCCCGUAGUCC
rnacentral:rRNA from 2 species